UUCGCCCUAACAAGGUCAAGUUUCACGUCCCAGACGCUACCCUCUCUGAGUUCAACUUCGCCACCAAUAACACUCUCUAUUAUAACCUAUCCCUGAUCAUCUCAGUCCGCAACCCUAACAAGAAGAUUGGAAUCUAUUAUGAUAGUAUAGACGCCAGGGCCUUUUACGGGGACCAGAGAUUCGGUUACGAUAGCUUGACUCCAUUUUACCAGGGACACAAGAACACAAGCAUUCUCACCCCUGCAUUCCAAAGCCACGAAGUGAUGCCUCUUGGUGAAGGGCUUACACAGUUUAAACAAGAAACGACUACUGGGGUUUAUAGCAUCGACGUGAAGCUUUACUUGAGGAUUAGAUUCAAGGUGGGUAAGAUCAAGACUGGCAAAUUCAAGCCCAAGAUUGAGUGCGACUUGAAGGUUCCUUUAAGCGCAAAUGGUACAGUGACUACUCCUUUCGAGACUACCAAAUGCGACUUGGAUUACUGAUCAUGUUCAUCAUCGAUUUCUUGUUCUUGUUUGAUUGAGUCUUUGAUCAGUUUCUUGUAUCGUUAUUCUUUAGCGUUUUUUUUUU
rnacentral:misc_RNA from 1 species